rnacentral:rRNA from 1 species
UGCGUAGGCGGAUUAAUAAGUCAGUGGUGAAAACCUGCAGCUUAACUGUAGAACUGCCAUUGAUACUGUUAGUCUUGAGUACGGUCAAGGUAGGCGGAAUGUAUAAUGUAGCGGUGAAAUGCUUAGAUAUUACACAGAACACCGAUUGCGAAGGCAGCUUACUGGACCAUUACUGACGCUGAGGCACGAAAGCGUGGGGAGCGAACAGGAUUAGAUACCCUGGUAGUCC